AUUGAACGCUGGCGGCAUGCCUUACACAUGCAAGUCGAACGGCAGCACGGGUGCUUGCACCUGGUGGCGAGUGGCGAACGGGUGAGUAAUACAUCGGAACAUGUCCUGUAGUGGGGGAUAGCCCGGCGAAAGCCGGAUUAAUACCGCAUACGAUCUACGGAUGAAAGCGGGGGACCUUCGGGCCUCGCGCUAUAGGGUCGGCCGAUGGCUGAUUAGCUAGUUGGUGGGGUAAAGGCCUACCAAGGCGACGAUCAGUAGAUGGUCUGAGAGGACGACCAGCCACACUGGGACUGAGACACGGCCCAGACUCCUACGGGAGGCAGCAGUGGGGAAUUUUGGACAAUGGGCGAAAGCCUGAUCCAGCAAUGCCGCGUGUGUGAAGAAGGCCUUCGGGUUGUAAAGCACUUUUGUCCGGAAAGAAAUCCUUGGCUCUAAUACAGUCGGGGGAUGACGGUACCGGAAGAAUAAGCACCGGCUAACUACGUG
rnacentral:rRNA from 1 species